rnacentral:rRNA from 1 species
GACGGAGGGGGCUAGCGUUGUUCGGAAUUACUGGGCGUAAAGCGUGCGUAGGCGGCCUUUCAAGUUGGGUGUGAAAGCCCGGGGCUUAACCCCGGAAAUGCGCCCAAGACUGUUUGGCUAGAGUCUCGGAGAGGUGAGUGGAACUCCCAGUGUAGAGGUGAAAUUCGUAGAUAUUGGGAAGAACACCAGUGGCGAAGGCGGCUCACUGGACGAGUACUGACGCUGAGGCACGAAAGCGUGGGGAGCAAACAGG